CCUACGGGAGGCAGCAGUAGGGAAUCUUUCACAAUGGGCGAAAGCCUGAUGGAGCAACGCCGCGUGCAGGAUGAAGGCCUUCGGGUUGUAAACUGCUUUUAUAAGCGAGAAAUAUGAUGGUAACUUAUGAAUAAGGAUCGGCUAACUACGUGCCAGCAGCCGCGGUCAUACGUAGGAUCCGAGCAUUAUCCGGAGUGACUGGGUGUGAAGAGUUGCGUAGGUGGCAUAAUAAGUAGCUAGUGAAAUCUGGUGGCUCAACCAUUCAGACUAUUAGCUAAACUGUUAAGCUCGAGAGCGUUAGGGGUAACUGGAAUUUCUAGUGUAGGAGUGAAAUCCGUAGAUAUUAGAAGGAACACCAAUAGCGUAGGCAGGUUACUGGGACGGUUCUGACACUAAGGCACGAAAGCGUAGGGAGCAAACGGGAUUAGAUACCCCAGUAGUC
rnacentral:rRNA from 1 species